UGGGGAAUAUUGGACAAUGGGCGCAAGCCUGAUCCAGCCAUACCGCGUGGGUGAAGAAGGCCUUCGGGUUGUAAAGCCCUUUUGUUGGGAAAGAAAAGCAGCCGGUUAAUACCCGGUUGUUCUGACGGUACCCAAAGAAUAAGCACCGGCUAACUUCGUGCCAGCAGCCGCGGUAAUACGAAGGGUGCAAGCGUUACUCGGAAUUACUGGGCGUAAAGCGUGCGUAGGUGGUUGUUUAAGUCUGUCGUGAAAGCCCUGGGCUCAACCUGGGAAUGGCGAUGGAAACUGGGCGACUAGAGUGUGGCAGAGGGUAGUGGAAUUCCUGGUGUAGCAGUGAAAUGCGUAGAGAUCAGGAGGAACAUCCGUGGCGAAGGCGACUGCCUGGGCCAACACUGACACUGAGGCACGAAAGCGUGGGGAGCAAACAGG
rnacentral:rRNA from 2 species